UACGUAGGGUGCGAGCGUUGUCCGGAAUUAUUGGGCGUAAAGAGCUCGUAGGCGGUGUGUCACGUCGGCCGUGAAAACCUGCAGCUUAACUGUGGGCCUGCGGUCGAUACGGGCAUCACUGGAGUUCGGCAGGGGAGACUGGAAUUCCUGGUGUAGCGGUGAAAUGCGCAGAUAUCAGGAGGAACACCGGUGGCGAAGGCGGGUCUCUGGGCCGAUACUGACGCUGAGGAGCGAAAGCAUGGGGAGCGAACAGG
rnacentral:rRNA from 1 species